AGUGAACGCUGGCGGCAGGCCUAACACAUGCAAGUCGAACGGCAGCACAGAGGAGCUUGCUCCUUGGGUGGCGAGUGGCGAACGGGUGAGGAAUGCAUCGGAAUCUGCCCAAUCGUGGGGGAUAACCUCGGGAAACCGGGACUAAUACCGCAUACGACCUUCGGGUGAAAGCAGGGGAUCGCAAGACCUUGCGCGAUUGGAUGAGCCGAUGCCGGAUUAGCUAGUUGGCGGGGUAAAGGCCCACCAAGGCGACGAUCCGUAGCUGGUCUGAGAGGAUGAUCCGCCACACUGGAACUGGGACACGGUCCAGACUCGUACGGGAGGCAGCAGUGGGGAAUAUUGGACAAUGGGCGCAAGCCUGAUCCAGCCAUGCCGCGUGGGUGAAGAAGGCCUUCGGGUUGUAAAGCCCUUUUGUUGGGAAAGAAAAGCGGCCGGUUAAUACCCGGUUGUUCUGACGGUACCCAAAGAAUAAGCACCGGCUAACUUCGUGCCAGCCGCCGCCGUAAGAC
rnacentral:rRNA from 1 species